GAUGAACGCUGGCGGCGUGCCUAAUACAUGCAAGUCGAGCGAACGGACGAGAAGCUUGUUUUUAUGAUGUUAGCGGCGGACGGGUGAGUAACACGUGGAUAACCUACCUAUAAGACUGGGAUAACUUCGGGAAACCGGAGCUAAUACCGGAUAAAAAUUUGAACCGCAUGGUUCAAAAGUGAAAGACGGUCUUGCUGUCACUUAUAGAUAGAUCCGCGCUGCAUUAGCUAGUUGGUAAGGUAACGGCUUACCAAGGCAACGAUGAAUAGCGGACCUGAGAGGGUGAUCGGCCACACGGGACCGAAGACACGGUCCAGACUCCAACGGGAGGCAGCAGUGGGAAAUUUCCCGCAAGGGGCGAAGGCCUGACGGGGAAACGCGGCGGGAGGAAUAAGGGUUUUCGGAUCUUAAAACUCGGUUAUUAGGGAAAAACAUAUGUGUAAGGAACUGUGCACAUCGUGACGGUAACUAAUCAGAAAGCGACGGCUAACUACGUG
rnacentral:rRNA from 1 species